rnacentral:tRNA from 1 species
GGCCGGUUGGCCCAAUGGCAAGGCGUCUGACUACGAUUCUUCCCGAAGAUCGUGUUAUCAGGAGAUUCUGGGUUCGACCCCCAGGCUGGUCA